rnacentral:lncRNA from 1 species
GCACCCUGCACGUCUGGGCUUGAAGACAGAAAUCCACCGUGAGGUGCUCCAAGGAACACUGAUGGGCAGUUUUGUUAAAGUGAUUGAACUCCGUGGGUACAGGAGUACGUGGAGUAAUGAAGGAUAAUGCCCUGUAACCGCUUCCUCUUAGGAAUGCUAGCUUUCACAAUUGUGCAAACGGUGGAGAAAAGAACAAAACAGUUACAUUAUUGAAUAAACAUUAAACCAGACUGCGAUGUGCGUCACAGGCAACCCACUAAUGAGUUUAUGAAGACAGGAAGAACUAUCAUUUUUUGUAUUAGCCGGUCUGGUACAACGCAUUCUAUUUCCUCAAGGAUAAGGAAUAAAACUGUUCUUUUGAAAUGAAGAAGAGAACCACCUAGGAGACUAUCACCCUGACCUGAGGACUUCACUAGGGAUUCAGGAAAGAAGACACAGAAAGAAAGCAAUCCUCAAGGAUCAGAAUGGCCAGCAGGAGGCCAUAUGCACCUAAACCAGAUGGAAGAAAAUGGCCCGGGGUGACCAGCUGGCUCUCUUUAUCAAGCUCAGACUCCUCAAGUCCCCGCUUGGAAGAACAGUCACAGAUUCCAUAUACAGGUAAUUCAAGAUCUCCAAGCAGCAGGGAGGGGGUUCAGAAUACAUAUUCAAGUUGUUGCAGCUCAAAACACUGAUGUAGACAUGGCUGGCACCAACGU